UNUGACUUGAGUGCAGAAGGGGAGAGUGGAAUUCCAUGUGUAGCGGUGAAAUGCGUAGAUAUAUGGAGGAACACCAGUGGCGAAAGCGGCUCUCUGGUCUGUCACUGACGCUGAGGCUCGAAAGCGUGGGUAGCGAACAGGAUUAGAUACCCUGGUAGUNCACGCCGUAAACGAUGAGUGCUAGGUGUUAGGCCCUUUCCGGGGCUUAGUGCCGGAGCUAACGCAAUAAGCACUCCGCCUGGGGAGUACGACCGCAAGGUUGAAACUCAAUGGAAUUGACGGGGGCCCGCACAAGCGGUGGAGCAUGUGGUUUAAUUCGAAGCAACGCGAAGAACCUUACCAGGUCUUGACAUCCCGAUGCUAUUCUUAGAGAUAGGAAGUUACUUCGGUACAUCGGAGACAGGUGGUGCAUGGUUGUCGUCAGCUCGUGUCGUGAGAUGUUGGGUUAAGUCCCGCAACGAGCGCAACCCUUAUUGUUAGUUGCCAUCAUUAAGUUGGGCACUCUAGCGAGACUGCCGGUAAUAAACCGGAGGAAGGUGGGGAUGACGUCAAAUCAUCAUGCCCCUUAUGACCUGGGCUACACACGUGCUACAAUGGUCGGUACAACGAGUUGCGAGCCGGUGACGGCAAGCUAAUCUCUGAAAGCCGAUCUCAGUUCGGAUUGGAGGCUGCAACUCGCCUCCAUGAAGUCGGAAUCGCUAGUAAUCGCGGAUCAGCACGCCGCGGUGAGUACGUUCCCGGGCCUUGUACACACCGCCCGUCACACCACGAGAGUUUGUAACACCCGAAGUCG
rnacentral:rRNA from 1 species